rnacentral:rRNA from 1 species
GGGCCGAAGCCUGAUGCAGCGACGCCGCGUGAGGGAUGACGGCCUUCGGGUUGUAAACCUCUUUCAGUAGGGAAGAAGCGAAAGUGACGGUACCUGCAGAAGAAGCACCGGCUAACUACGUGCCAGCAGCCGCGGUAAUACGUAGGGUGCGAGCGUUAUCCGGAAUUAUUGGGCGUAAAGAGCUCGUAGGCGGUUUGUCGCGUCUGUCGUGAAAGUCCGGGGCUUAACCCCGGAUCUGCGGUGGGUACGGGCAGACUAGAGUGCAGUAGGGGAGACUGGAAUUCCUGGUGUAGCGGUGGAAUGCGCAGAUAUCAGGAGGAACACCGAUGGCGAAGGCAGGUCUCUGGGCUGUAACUGACGCUGAGGAGCGAAAGCAUGGGGAGCGAACAGGAUUAGAUACCCUGGUAGUCCAUGCCGUAAACGUUGGGCACUAGGUGUGGGGACCAUUCCACGGUUUCCGCGCCGCAGCUAACGCAUUAAGUGCCCCGCCUGGGGAGUACGGCCGCAAGGCUAAAACUCAAAGGAAUUGACGGGGGCCCGCACAAGCGGCGGAGCAUGCGGAUUAAUUCGAUGCAACGCGAAGAACCUUACCAAGGCUUGACAUGUUCCCGAUCGCCGUAGAGAUACGGUUUCCCCUUUGGGGCGGGUUCACAGGUGGUGCAUGGUUGUCGUCAGCUCGUGUCGUGAGAUGUUGGGUUAAGUCCCGCAACGAGCGCAACCCUCGUUCCAUGUUGCCAGCACGUAAUGGUGGGGGACUCAUGGGAGACUGCCGGGGGUCAACUCGGAGGAAGGUGAGGACGACGUCAAAUCAUCAUGCCCCUUAUGUCUUGGGCUUCACGCAUGCUACAAUGGCCGGGUACAAUGGGUUGCGAUGCUGUGAGGUGGGAGGCUAAUCCCAAAAGCCGGUCUCAGUUCGAUUGGGGUCUGCAACUCGACCCCAUGAAGUCGGAUCGCUAGUAAUCCCAGAUCACAACGCUGCGUGAAUACGUUCCCGGGCCUUGUACACACCUCCCGUUCAGUUACCAAAUUGGUAACACUCUCAACCCGUGCUAUCCUUGUGGAGGGAGACCCUCAAAGAUGGACCCACGAUUGGGAAAUAACGUCGCAAAAUAGUAUCCGAUA